UACCAGCACCCCGAGUGGUCGGGACGAUUAUUGGGCCUAAAGCAUCCGUAGCCGGUUCUGCAAGUCCCCCGUUAAAUCCAGCUGCUCAACAGAUGGGCCGCGGAGGAUACUAUAGAGCUAGGAGGCGGGAGAGGCAAGCGGUACUCGAUGGGUAGGGGUAAAAUCCGUUGAUCCAUUGAAGACCACCAGUGACGAGGCGGCUG
rnacentral:rRNA from 1 species